rnacentral:rRNA from 1 species
UCUAGAGAUUACUCCUACGGGAGGCAGCAGUGGGGAAUAUUGCGCAAUGGGCGCAAGCCUGAUGCAGCCAUGCCGCGUGUAUGAAGAAGGCCUUCGGGUUGUAAAGUACUUUCAGCGAGGAGGAAGGUGUUGUGGUUAAUAACCGCAGCAAUUGACGUUACUCGCAGAAGAAGCACCGGCUAAGUCCGUGCCAGCAGCCGCGGUAAUAAUCGUCGAC